CUAUACACGAAGGUUGUCGCUAUUUAUAGAGGAAAGUCCGGGCAUCACAGAGCAGUACACCACCUAACAGGUGGGCAGUAUAUUAUACUGACAGAGAGCGCCACAGAAAAUAACCGCCUCAUACGGGGUAAGGGUGAAAAUGUGUGGUAAGAGCACACGGUGUAUAUUAGCAAUAAUGUACGCGGGCAAGCCUUGUACGAUGAAAUGCCCAAUAGGCAAGCAGGUAAGAGCUGCUCGCUCGUUGCUUGCGGGUAGGCAGAUAGAACAUAAGGGCGACCUUAUGUCAAGAUAAAUGACAGCACGCAACAGCAAUGUUGCGCACAGAACCCGGCUUAUGCAGUGUAUAGUUGU
rnacentral:RNase_P_RNA from 2 species